UUAUGUGGGCUACAUGUUAAAUGGCUCAUCGUUAAUGAGCCCAAAAGAACUCAAAUCAUGUCACCGUCGUCUCGGCUCUUCCACUUCAUUUGAAUCGAUUUGACUCGCUACAAAUUUCAGUUUUGUGUAUUAAUCACCAGAUUCACCACCCACUCCUACUCAUCAAAUAACAUUCUUGAAUCAUAUAUUCAAUUUUAUUCUUCACCCAAAUUCGUUUCUUUUUUUUUAAAUCAAUGGAUUAGCGACGCAAUCAAAAGCAUACCCCUCAGCCGCGUGGAUCCCGAUACUGGUAACGACGGCUGAGCCACAUAAACAGCCAAAUCAGUCUGGUUCUGAACAAGAAGAUAUUAGACUUACAAUUGCUAGAGCUGGCAUCUCGACAUGGCGCUGGGAAGAAUGUCAAUCAACAGAACGUAAAUCAACGGAGAUCACCAGAUGAUGCUGAAAGGGAGGCUAGAGAAAUGGUGCUUAGUCAAAUAUUGUUUUCCCACUCUCUCGAGAGAAGUAAGUCCCAUCUAAAAUGGUUUGAAGUCCAUCUACUUUUUCCUUUGUUCUUUAGUGAGUGUCAUCGAGAUGAUGCUAAUCUUCCAGAUUGUACUAUCGUUGCUCAUGUUUCCCUGUUGGAACCUUUAAAGAGUGCCUAGAGGAUGUUAUUUUGAGGGCUGCUCAAAUGGAACAGAUAGUUGAGAAGGUAAGAAUCCAGUCACCUUUUCAUGUCAUAGUUCACCAUUUUUUUCACAUCUUCAAGUUUCUACCCAGUUUCUCUGGUACUCCACACAUCUGAGAGACAUUGCAUUACUCUGUUUGUUUUCACAGGUUUGUGAGGAGCGGCUUAAUACUGGAGCGGUUUGUGAUUUAUGGGAUUACUUUCCAUCUGUGUCAAUCUUUAUGAUCUGGCACAAUCUUUUUGUUGGUUUCUUAUUUAAGCUACUUAUGCCCUUGAAACAUAAUAUAUUUGGAUGAAUAAAUUUUCUUUUCAGUCUUAUCUUCGUUAUUCUAAAUCUCUGGUUUGCAUCUCUGGAAAUUAAGAUUAUAUUUCUGCAGUUACUGAUUUGAGUGAUACAUUGAUGGAUUGGAUGGUAAAGGACAUACUCAGUAUAUAUAUAUUAUUAUUUAUAUACUUCCGUAUGAUACAUCUCCUUUUGGUAAAAGCUAUAAAGAUAUAUAUACCUUUACGACUUGCCAUCGUAAGUCUUUCCAUUGAUGUUUGCUUCAUGAGUCUACAUUUGUGUUUCCUUUUCAAAAGCUUAGUUCAUCGUAAAUAUAGGUUUUUAUCCUUCAUGAAUAAAUUUUAACUCUCACUUAUUUAUCUGCUUGGCUUCGACUGAUUCUAUUAUUAUGUAAACAUGUAGUUUUUCCCAAAUUCGGGUUACAUGUCAGUUGUACAAAGUUAAGGAGACAACAAGGUCAUGGUUUCCGAGGGCUACAUUUCUGCACCAUUUGGAGAUAAUAGCGCUUCUUCUUCUACUGCUGAAUAUACAAAAGGCUGCAAAAAGCUUUUCCUGUAAACCAGAGUAAUUUACCCAAAUUUGAUUCAUCUCAAUUUGGUCAAUCGGUCUGGAUCUGAAGGUGGUUCAAAGAAGCAUGCUGAGAAUGGAUUUAUGACAUAAGGUGGCUGUAAUAGCUCAAGCAGUAGAGCAUGAAAACAAUCAUGGUAAUUUCUUCGACUUUUGAAUCGCAUGUGUGAGCACUUUGAUCUUUUUUUUUUGGUUAAGCACAUUAAUCUUUUCUUAAUUUACACAUUAUUGUGAAUUGAACAAAUUUGGAGGGGACAAUGUCAGUAGAACCUGAUGUUAAAUUCGAUUAUCAUUCUUUGCUUCGUUCAAGCUGUUGAGUAGAUAAGGUAUUUGAUCAUUAUUUUGGGUAAGUGAAAAAGAUGUGGACGCAUACGCAACCUAGAAAAUGGUUGUCAAACUGUAUACUAAUAUGUGUUUAUGUUUGACUCUAGGCAUUGAAGAUGAAAGGAAGGUCUUCAAAAACACCACAGAAGAAGUAAGUCACAAGAUUCAAACACCACAGAAGAAGCAAGCGACAAGACUUGAAAGUGGCGACUACAAUGUAAGAAGAAAACUAAAGAAGUAUUUGUAAUGAGAGGAUUAAGAAAGUUUCUACGGUUUGUGUAUCCCUAAGGAUUCAGUUUGAUUUGUUUUGUUUUCGUUACCAAAAUGCUAUUAUCAUACUGGUGCAUUUAGUUAAAUACAAAUAGAUAGAC